rnacentral:misc_RNA from 1 species
AUUAAAAUUUUAUUGAUUUGUUAGUUAUAUUUCCUCAGGUUUGGUAUUAAUUAUAAAUUUGUUCUCUUGUUUUCAUCAGUUGGUACACAACAUUGUCAACAAUUAGUGGCAAAAUGAGAAUGAAUAUGCAAAACCAAAUCAAUCGCCUGGACGCCUUUGCUGGUGUAAGGGUGAAUGAUCGAGUGAAAAAGGAUAAAGCAUCGCAGGGCAUGAAAGACGAAUACAGCCAACUAGACCCUUGCCGCACUGCGCCACCAGGCUGGAAAAUCAUGGCGUUGAAAUAUGAAGCACAUGCAGGGGAAUCCUACCAUAUAAGGUCGGCCAAGAUACCCUGACACAGGAGGUUCCACGCAGGCAUAUAAACUUGGGAACGUAGGAACUUGCAUGUGUGGCAGAGCCUAGGUGGCUCAGUCUCUUGUAGCCAGGGCGCUUCCAAAGGCACCAGUCAUGUCCAUUGACCUCUAUCUAAUGAGCUAAGAGAAGCCCAUUUACACACAGCUUAAUAUACGGUGGCCAUGGCCGAAAUUGAGCCAAUACCCACUCAAGCAUACUCAAGACAUGUCGAAAGUAUCUGCACCCCCUCAAUAAACCCAGACUUGCAAAAAAAUCACAAAACCAAAAUCUAUCUAUAAGCACUGGGAGAUAGAGGAUGAAUUUGUACAUACAACGAUUUAAUAAUUUUUUUUGCCACAAAAGUUGGUAGAGGAGCAUUUGUAGCCUUAGAAAACAAGAAGAGAUUCUCUCUUUAAAAAGACUAAAGAGAGGAAGACGAUUUUAUGAAAUAUUUAUUUCUCAUUUCAUGUUCUUACACAAAA